CGUUCGGUGGUCUAGUGGUUAGAGCGUCUGACUCGGAUGCGGGAGGUCGUGGGUUCGAACCACGGCCGAGUCA